CUCCAGCAGACCCUCCCUCCCAGACCCUCCUACUUCCUGGACAGCAUCCAUUGUUGAAACAUGGAUGCUGUCCAGGAAGUAGGAGGGUCUGGGAGGGAGGGUCUGCUGGAG